CAAGAAUUAACUUUAAAUUCUGAAGUGAUAAAUAGUCCAUGUGUUUGCUGCAACGGGCUAUCUUAGAUUAAAUUAGUUUUAUGAACUGUGUUAGACUGAAUUAGUGAAGCGUUUGAUGAGAAUCAGACUAAGAAUCAUGACAUUGAAAACCUAGAAUUACACCUAAUGCCUUAAGGAAAUUGAGGCAUUGAAAUCCAAAAUUGAACCCUCAAAAUUCUAGAAUUGCUACAAAAUUUGCAAAAAGAAAAAAAGAAAUUUCACCAAAUCCAGGAAAUCUAACCAACAAUCAACGGAUGAGAUCAAUUCGUCGGGAGGAUCCCACGGGAUUGAUCCCGAGGGGAUCUGAGUAGUUUGUACGUGCCCUCGUUGACAGAAAACAAACCGUCGUUGAGUCAUCCCUCUCAAUCUCAAUCGAAUCCCUAGGGUGUAGGGUUUCGAAGCUGAACAAAAGCACAAUCGAGAGGUAAAGGGCGUGGCAUUGAUUCAAAUCCGAAAUCUCCGGCCAUGGCAGACAAUCAGUGGCGCCGUAAUGCUCUCCGGUCCCAUGCAGAGGGUGUCCGGUUCCAUAUGGAGGCUAUCCGGUCCUAUUUAAGGGCUUCCCCGACCGAGCCCGCUCACCACCAGGUGACCGCGGACCAGAUUCUGGCGCCAUUCUGCUCCCGUUCCCGGAGAACGAAACAGCAACACCGGCAGUUUCGGACGAAGCCGGGAACGCCGAUGAUCCAAGCGAAGAUGACACGAGCGAGUGCUCAGAUGCUGACAUGGGCACGGGCGAACAUGAUCAUCCACUACAUGAACCACUAGUUCCAAGCGAACGAGGCCCAUUCACUGAAAAAUUCUCACCAGAAACUAAUGGUAAUUAAUAUUUAUUUUUUUUAUUUUGAAGAAGAUUUGUAACAUUCUGUAUCUCCAUUGUUUUGUACAGUGGAAUGGUUGCAAGCUGCUUGGCCGAGGGUUCAAUUGGCUUUUGAGCGCUUUGGCUUUCAGGCCAAAUUGGAUCUGGACAAGAGUUGCGUAACAGCCGUCGCAAUUGGGGAUGAUCAUACUAAGUUCCCAUUUUCUGCGUGGCAUUUUGUUAAACUUUUGG